UUUUGCAUUUAAAAAUUGAAGAAUUUUAAACAGGGCUUUUAUUUGGUCAUACUUGCAAUACAUUGGGGUCUAGUUUGGAAUCUGACAACUGGAACAAAAAGAACCUUGAAUCCGGUGCAUGCCUUGGUUUUGGUGCUGCUGCUGCUUCUCAAGUUCCUCAGCAGGGAUUAAGAAAGAACCUAGUGUGCACAGCAGAUCCCCAAAAUUGGGGGGAUUGAAUUGCUGUGUCUUUCCACUUUCUGUUCAGGACCACUAAAUGCUGAAAUGUGGAUGCAUACCAAAAUAAAAGCAAUUUGUUGUGAAAAAAAAAACAGGGGGAGAAAGGGAGAAAAGUAAUAACAAACAAAAGAACAAUUCUGGAAAAUCAAUAUAGUCCACAAUACUCUGAAGUCCAUAUAUCAGUAGGCAGGUAUGAAAGUGGCUUAUGUACAUAAAUAGGUUGCUGUUAUUUUCUUCUGAAGAUUAAGUUGUCUAGCUUCAGUUCUCAGGGAUUUCUGAAAGCACAGCUUAGCUUUCAGUGCUUUCAAAUGAAUAAAAAUGCAAAAAAGAAGAAAAAAAUGAA
rnacentral:lncRNA from 1 species